rnacentral:tmRNA from 1 species
GGGGUUGACUGGUUUUGACAGCAAGUCCAAUGGGUAAGUAAGCAUGCAGUGAAAUGUUGUGUACUCACUUUAAUCAGGCACUUCGACUUUUUAACUGGCAACGAAGAGUACGCUUUAGCUGCAUAAUCCGAAUUAUAGUAGGAUUCGCUUUUAUCCGUAUUAGAUACGGAAGCUGAAUAUCCCUCAGAAGCCUUGACUUACGGCGUCUGAUCAAGGGAUACGGGAAAGUAAGAAUAGGGAUUCUGAUGUUUCUAAGGAAUCUUGAAAUUUUAGAAAAUAAGCGUAUGACAGGGUGUUUGUUCUCAGGAUUACGCCGACAAUUAAAAACAAACUAAGCAUGUAGAAAGCUUAUUUGUUGCUUGUUUGGACGCGGGUUCGAAUCCCGCCAGCUCCACAA